rnacentral:siRNA from 1 species
ACGAUUUGACAUCUACUCUCC